rnacentral:rRNA from 1 species
GGCUUAACACAUGCAAGUCGAGGGGCAGCAUGAAGGUUAGCAAUAACCUUUGGAUGGGCCGACCGGCGGCAAGGGUGCGUAACGCGUGAGCAACUUGCCCGUUUCAGGGGGAUAACCGGUGGAAACGCCGACUAAUACCCCAUGGCAUCAUUAGGAGGCAUCUCCUUCUGAUUAAAGAUUCAUCGGUACGGGAUGGGGAUGCGUAUGAUUAGCUUGUUGGCGGGGUAACGGCCCACCAAGGCAACGAUCAUUAGGGGUUCUGAGAGGAAGGUCCCCCCACACUGGAACUGAGACACGGUCCAGACUCCUACGGGAGGCAGCAGUGAGGAAUAUUGGUCAAUGGAGGCAACUCUGAACCAGCCAAGUAGCGUGCAGGAUGACGGCCCUAUGGGUUGUAAACUGCUUUUAUGCGGGGAUAAAUGAUCCUACGUGUAGGAUUUUGCAGGUACCGCAUGAAUAAGGACCGGCUAAUUCCGUG